rnacentral:rRNA from 1 species
GACGUAGGGCGCGAGCGUUGUCCGGAUUUAUUGGGCGUAAAGAGCUCGUAGGCGGCUUGUCGCGUCGACUGUGAAAACCCGCGGCUCAACUGCGGGCUUGCAGUCGAUACGGGCAGGCUAGAGUUCGGUAGGGGAGACUGGAAUUCCUGGUGUAGCGGUGAAAUGCGCAGAUAUCAGGAAGAACACCAAUGGCGAAAGCAGCUCUCUGGGACGGUACUGACGCUGAGACGCGAAAGCGUGGGGAGCGAACAGG